AGAGUUUGAUCCUGGCUCAGGACGAACGCUGGCGGCGCGCCUAACACAUGCAAGUCGAACGGAGCUGAGAGGAGCUUGCUUUUCUUAGCUUAGUGGCGAACGGGUGAGUAACGCGUGAGUAACCUGCCCUGGAGUGGGGGACAACAGUUGGAAACGACUGCUAAUACCGCAUAAGCCCACGGCCCGGCAUCGGGCUGAGGGAAAAGGAUUUAUUCGCUUCAGGAUGGACUCGCGUCCAAUUAGCUAGUUGGUGAGGUAACGGCCCACCAAGGCGACGAUUGGUAGCCGGACUGAGAGGUUGAACGGCCACAUUGGGACUGAGACACGGCCCAGACUCCUACGGGAGGCAGCAGUGGGGGAUAUUGCACAAUGGGGGAAACCCUGAUGCAGCGACGCCGCGUGGAGGAAGAAGGUUUUCGGAUUGUAAACUCCUGUCGUUAGGGACGAUAAUGACGGUACCUAACAAGAAAGCACCGGCUAACUACGUGCCAGCAGCCGCGGUAAAACGUAGGGUGCAAGCGUUGUCCGGAAUUACUGGGUGUAAAGGGAGCGCAGGCGGACCGGCAAGUUGGAAGUGAAAACUAUGGGCUCAACCCAUAAAUUGCUUUCAAAACUGCUGGCCUUGAGUAGUGCAGAGGUAGGUGGAAUUCCCGGUGUAGCGGUGGAAUGCGUAGAUAUCGGGAGGAACACCAGUGGCGAAGGCGACCUACUGGGCACCAACUGACGCUGAGGCUCGAAAGCAUGGGUAGCAAACAGGAUUAGAUACCCUGGUAGUCCAUGCCGUAAACGAUGAUUACUAGGUGUUGGAGGAUUGACCCCUUCAGUGCCGCAGUUAACACAAUAAGUAAUCCACCUGGGGAGUACGACCGCAAGGUUGAAACUCAAAGGAAU
rnacentral:rRNA from 1 species